GUAUGAAACGCCCGAAAAAAAACCUCAAUCUGUUUGCUUAUCUUUGCACCAGGGUUGCCUAAAAAAAAAAAACAGAACAAACACGUCAACUUUCCCCAGACUUUUCCCGCGUGUGUUUACACAUAGCAGGUGGACCCCACGUCACACGGGGUCGCAGCACGCCCCAAAAUAACAACACACCACUCCGCGCCCAGUCUAUUCGCCCCGGGGGCUGCGUUCCUAAUAAGCUAGUCCCAAACACUCGGUGGCGGUGGAGGAAUACAUCUUGAUGUGUUGAAUCGCAAUGCAAAAAAAACAAGCUUGCUUCUUUUCGGGAUUGCGCGUCAUGCGAGAGGCAUUCAAACAGGACUCGAUGUACGGCUUUUUCUGUUGCAUUAGUAAUAACAGCAGCAGCGGCGUUGACUGAAGACAGCAGGAGAGGCGAGAGAGACUUCUUCGCGUGUGUCUGCAGCGGAGGAAUAUCUCAGCUUUUUAUUUACUCUUCUGCGUGUUGUUCCUUUUUCUACCUUAUGGUUGACUUCUGCGGUCACGUGUGACACGUCUUUUUUUUGAAGCCAGCGGUAAACGGAACGACGACUUCUCACACACCUGGCGGCACUUUUGUAUUUUGACCCCCCCAAAAAAGAAGAAGAUAUAGCUUAUACCUGCGUCCCCCUUUUUUGGGUAGCGGCCAUCGUUGGAUCCUACCCCCCCCACCCCCACCCCCCUGCCCCACCUAGUGACUGGACCCAGCCCCCGGAUCUCAGCCCCCCCACGCCAGGGAUGAAAUAUGCCCACUCUGUGACCUUAACACAAGACAGAAGAAACGCGAUCUGAAAAACAAAUCGGUGAGUGAAUUAAAGUUCCCUACUGUGUGCUGUUAUUGUCAUACCCUGUUCCCUGGCGAAGUGACCCUCCAUGAGCUGAUAAGCUUGAUGAGACAAACACAUCUUUUGGGUGUGUGAAUGUGUUCACUUGGAGGCAAAUUAUGUGCUGGUGAAAUGGAAAGAACAAGAGGUUCAAUGAUUCGUACCAAUUUUAGUUAUUUUCAUUUAUUUCUCAAUCUAUUAUUGUACUUCGUGUAAUUCGUUUGAUCGUUUUUUUUUGGUUUCCUGUUGCAUUAGCAGAUUUGCGACAUCACAUGACACAACAACACACAGUUUGAUCCCAUGAAUGACGUAGAUUCCAGGGUAAACAACUGAUUUGCAGCAUAGCUAUUAUUAUGAAUACAAAACAAAACAUAUCAAGAAACCAGCACUUCCUCUCAGCGUAACCAUUUGACACGGUAGAGUUGUGUACUACAAUGUUAUUAGCCUAGAAUCACAGCAGCGGUCAGCAGUUAAACAGCAGAUUUAAACUUGAAAGACAAGCGUGAGUCGUUUCAAGUGGUUUCCCUGGCCCUUUCUCACAAAGGGGAGGAGGGUAUUAAAGGUUGUUUGUCGCCAUGUCAAUGGUGCUAUCAGUGCAAGGAAUCUCGGGGCCCCAGCAAUUAUCCCUCAAACAUUGCAACAGACUCCUGCAGACACGCAAACACAAAUCCUCCCCCCACACACACACACACACACACACACACACACACACACACACACACACACACACACACACACACACACACACACACACACA